rnacentral:pre_miRNA from 1 species
AUUCUACUCCUUCCGUUCCACAAUACAUGCCUUCUAUUUGUCAAAAUAUAGAUGUAUCUAGACAUGUUUUAGUAUAUAGGUACAUCCAUUUUUGGACAAAUGGAAGUCAAGUAUUUUGGAACGGAGGGAGUACACA